rnacentral:tRNA from 1 species
UGGAUUGAUGUCCGUUGGUUUGGACGGUCAGCUGUUAAUUGAUUGUUUGUGGGGUCGAAGCCCACCAAUCCUG